CCUACGGGAGGCAGCAGUGGGGAAUUUUGGACAAUGGGCGCAAGCCUGAUCCAGCAAUGCCGCGUGCAGGAUGAAGGCCUUCGGGUUGUAAACUGCUUUUGUACGGAACGAAACGGUGAGCUCUAAUACAGUUUGCUAAUGACGGUACCGUAAGAAUAAGCACCGGCUAACUACGUGCCAGCAGCCGCGGUAAUACGUAGGGUGCGAGCGUUAAUCGGAAUUACUGGGCGUAAAGCGUGCGCAGGCGGUGAUGUAAGACAGAUGUGAAAUGCCCGGGCUCAACCUGGGACCUGCAUUUGUGACUGCAUCGCUAGAGUACGGUAGAGGGGGAUGGAAUUCCGCGUGUAGCAGUGAAAUGCGUAGAUAUGCGGAGGAACACCGAUGGCGAAGGCAAUCCCCUGGACCUGUACUGACGCUCAUGCACGAAAGCGUGGGGAGCAAACAGGAUUAGAUACCCUGGUAGUCCACGCCCUAAACGAUGUCAACUGGUUGUUGGGUCUUCACUGACUCAGUAACGAAGCUAACGCGUGAAGUUGACCGCCUUGGGGAGUUAGGCCGCAAGGUUGAAACUCAAAGGAAUUGACGGCGNGAGAGNGCGAGGACGACACGAGGAGAGG
rnacentral:rRNA from 1 species